rnacentral:rRNA from 1 species
GACGAACGCUGGCGGCGUGCCUAAUACAUGCAAGUAGAACGCUGAAGGAGGAGCUUGCUUCUCUGGAUGAGUUGCGAACGGGUGAGUAACGCGUAGGUAACCUGCCUGGUAGCGGGGGAUAACUAUUGGAAACGAUAGCUAAUACCGCAUAAGAGUAGAUGUCGCAUGACAUUUGCUUAAAAGGUGCAAUUGCAUCACUACCAGACGGACCUGCGUUGUAUUAGCUAGUUGGUGGGGUAACGGCUCACCAAGGCGACGAUACAUAGCCGACCUGAGAGGGUGAUCGGCCACACUGGGACUGAGACACGGCCCAGACUCCUACGGGAGGCAGCAGUAGGGAAUCUUCGGCAAUGGACGGAAGUCUGACCGAGCAACGCCGCGUGAGUGAAGAAGGUUUUCGGAUCGUAAAGCUCUGUUGUAAGAGAAGAACGAGUGUGAGAGUGGAAAGUUCACACUGUGACGGUAUCUUACCAGAAAGGGACGGCUAACUACGUGCCAGCAGCCGCGGUAAUACGUAGGUCCCGAGCGUUGUCCGGAUUUAUUGGGCGUAAAGCGAGCGCAGGCGGUUAGAUAAGUCUGAAGUUAAAGGCUGUGGCUUAACCAUAGUACGCUUUGGAAACUGUUUAACUUGAGUGCAAGAGGGGAGAGUGGAAUUCCAUGUGUAGCGGUGAAAUGCGUAGAUAUAUGGAGGAACACCGGUGGCGAAAGCGGCUCUCUGGCUUGUAACUGACGCUGAGGCUCGAAAGCGUGGGGAGCAAACAGG